rnacentral:rRNA from 1 species
AGAGUUUGAUCCUGGCUCAGAUUGAACGCUGGCGGCAGGCCUAACACAUGCAAGUCGAGCGGUAGAGAGGUGCUUGCAUCUCUUGAGAGCGGCGGACGGGUGAGUAAUGCCUAGGAAUCUGCCUAGUGGUGGGGGAUAACGUUCGGAAACGGACGCUAAUACCGCAUACGUCCUACGGGAGAAAGCGGGGGAUCUUCGGACCUCGCGCCAUUAGAUGAGCCUAGGUCGGAUUAGCUAGUUGGUGAGGUAAUGGCUCACCAAGGCGACGAUCCGUAACUGGUCUGAGAGGAUGAUCAGUCACACUGGAACUGAGACACGGUCCAGACUCCUACGGGAGGCAGCAGUGGGGAAUAUUGGACAAUGGGCGAAAGCCUGAUCCAGCCAUGCCGCGUGUGUGAAGAAGGUCUUCGGAUUGUAAAGCACUUUAAGUUGGGAGGAAGGGUAGUAACCUAAUACGUUGCUACUUAGACGUACCGACAGAAUAAGCAC